rnacentral:rRNA from 1 species
GAUGAACGCUGGCGGCGUGCCUAAUACAUGCAAGUCGAGCGAACGGACGAGAAGCUUGCUUUUCUGAUGUUAGCGGCGGACGGGUGAGUAACACGUGGAUAACCUACCUAUAAGACUGGGAUAACUUCGGGAAACCGGAGCUAAUACCGGAUAAUAUUUUGAACCGCAUGGUUCAAAAGUGAAAGACGGUCUUGCUAUCACUUAUAGAUGGAUCCGCGCUGCAUUAGCUAGUUGGUAAGGUAACGGCUUACCAAGGCAACGAUGCAUAGCCGACCUGAGAGGGUGAUCGGCCACACUGGAACUGAGACACGGUCCAGACUCCUACGGGAGGCAGCAGUAGGGAAUCUUCCGCAAUGGGCGAAAGCCUGACGGAGCAACGCCGCGUGAGUGAUGAAGGUCUUCGGAUCGUAAAACUCUGUUAUUAGGGAAGAACAAAUGUGUAAGUAACUGUGCACAUCUUGACGGUACCUAAUCAGAAAGCCACGGCUAACUACGUG